rnacentral:lncRNA from 1 species
UUAAUGGAGAGGUAGGAGGGGGAGGAAUCUGCAAACAAAUAAAUUAAGAUCAGUAGUGACAAUUCCAUGUCUUCUACUAAUCAACAGAUGAAUAGCAAGAAAAGAAUACCUAGGGGCAGCAGGGGCUGACUGUGGAGUCUUUGCAGGUGAAGUCCUUACUUGCUUGCUUUGAGUAGUCUCAGGCUGAGCCUGGCCCACAUAGCCACCACUCAUAGACUCCUCAAGCAGGGACCUCUUUCUGGUACCCAGUUUUUCAACUACAUCAAACAAAGGAGCG